rnacentral:rRNA from 1 species
GACGAACGCUGGCGGCGUGCUUAACACAUGCAAGUCGAACGGAAAGGCCCUGCUUUUGUGGGGUGCUCGAGUGGCGAACGGGUGAGUAACACGUGAGUAACCUGCCCUUGACUUUGGGAUAACUUCAGGAAACUGGGGCUAAUACCGGAUAGGAGCUCCUGCUGCAUGGUGGGGGUUGGAAAGUUUCGGCGGUUGGGGAUGGACUCGCGGCUUAUCAGCUUGUUGGUGGGGUAGUGGCUUACCAAGGCUUUGACGGGUAGCCGGCCUGAGAGGGUGACCGGCCACAUUGGGACUGGGAUACGGCCCAGACCCCUACGGGGGGCAGGAGGGGGGAAUUUGGCAAAAGGGGCGGAAGCCGGAUGCAGCAACCCCGCGGGGGGGAGGACGGCCUUCGGGUUGUAAACCGCUUUCGCCUGUGACGAAGCGUGGGUGACGGUAAUGGGUAAAGAAGCACCGGCUAACUACGU